rnacentral:rRNA from 1 species
CCGCGUGCGGGAUGAAGGCCUUCGGGCUGUAAACCGCUUUCAGCAGGAACGAAAAUGACGGUACCUGCAGAAGAAGGAGCGGCCAACUACGUGCCAGCAGCCGCGGUGACACGUAGGCUCCAAGCGUUGUCNGGAUUUAUUGGGCGUAAAGAGCUCGUAGGCGGUUGAGUAAGUCGGGUGUGAAAACUCUGGGCUUAACCCGGAGACGCCNUCCGAUACUGCUCUGACUAGAGUUCAGGAGGGGAGUGGGGAAUUCCUAGUGUAGCGGUGAAAUGCGCAGAUAUUAGGAGGAACACCGGUGGCGAAGGCGCCACUCUGGACUGAAACUGACGCUGAGGAGCGAAAGCAUGGGUAGCAAA